rnacentral:rRNA from 1 species
GAGUAACACGUGGGUGAUCUGCCUUGCACUUCGGGAUAAGCCUGGGAAACUGGGUCUAAUACCGGAUAUGACCACNNNNNGCAUGNCUNGUGGUGGAAAGAUUUAUCGGUGCGAGAUGGGCCCGCGGCCUAUCAGCUUGUUGGUGAGGUAACGGCUCACCAAGGCGACGACGGGUAGCCGACCUGAGAGGGUGACCGGCCACACUGGGACUGAGACACGGCCCAGACUCCUACGGGAGGCAGCAGUGGGGAAUAUUGCACAAUGGGCGAAAGCCUGAUGCAGCGACGCCGCGUGCGGGAUGACGGCCUUCGGGUUGUAAACCGCUUUUGACAGGGACGAAGCGCAAGUGACUGUACCUGUAGAAUAAGGACCGGCCAACUACGUGCCAGCAGCCGCGGUAAUACGUAGGGUCCGAGCGUUGUCCGGAAUUACUGGGCGUAAAGAGCUUGUAGGCGGUUCGUCGCGUCGUUUGUGAAAACUUGGGGCUCAACCUUAAGCUUGCAGGCGAUACGGGCGGACUAGAGUACUUCAGGGGAGACUGGAAUUCCUGGUGUAGCGGUGAAAUGCGCAGAUAUCAGGAGGAACACCGGUGGCGAAGGCGGGUCUCUGGGAAGUAACUGACGCUGAGAAGCGAAAGCAUGGGUAGCAAACAGGAUUAGAUACCCUGGUAGUCCAUGCCGUAAACGGUGGGUACUAGGUGUGGGGCUCCUUCCACGGACUCCGUGCCGUAGCUAACGCAUUAAGUACCCCG